AAGGGGUUAGUCUAAUAAAGACCACUAAUUUCGACUUAGUAGAUUCUGAUCAAACCAGAACCCCUAA
rnacentral:tRNA from 1 species